GAUGAAGAACGUAGCGAAAUGCGAUAAGUAAUGUGAAUUGCAGAAUUCAGUGAAUCAUCGAAUCUUUGAACGCACAUUGCGCCCGCCAGUAUUCUGGCGGGCAUGCCUGUCUGAGCGUCAUUUCAACCCUCAUGCCCCUAGGGCGUGGUGUUGGGGAUCGGCCAAAGCCCGCGAGGGACGGCCGGCCCCUAAAUCUAGUGGCGGACCCGUCGUGGCCUCCUCUGCGAAGUAGUGAUAUUCCGCAUCGGAGAGCGACGAGCCCCUGCCGUUAAACCCCCAACUUUCCAAGGUUGACCUCAGAUCAGGCAGGAAUACCCGCUGAACUUAAGCAUAUCAAUAAGCGGAGGA
rnacentral:misc_RNA from 1 species